GGGCUUGUAGCUCAGGUGGUUAGAGCGCACGCCUGAUAAGCGUGAGGUCGGAAGUUCGUUCCCAGGCCCACCA
rnacentral:tRNA from 1 species